CUGGAUUAUGAAGCAAUGUAGUUUUCAAUGUACAAAAGUUCAAAAACCAUUCACCGGGCCGAAAGCCCUGCGGAGAUCUGCCUCCUCGAGCGAUCCAGAGGAACCCAUGCAGCUGGGACAGGCUCGGUUGUCCGCGGAAGAACGACGCCGCCGCCUACUGGAGGGGAGGUGUUUUUACUGCGGGGAACGAGGGCACCUACUGGCAGGAUGUUCGGCGAAAGCAAAUACCCACCAGAUGAAGGGUUCCCUGGUGAGCCGCUUCGCCUCAUCAGGCAGUCUCUCCCGCUCCCUGACCAAGAUCCAGGGUUUCCUUGGCUGAAGAAACACAAUACCCACAUUGACUGGCAUUCAGGGGGAUUAUAACUUGGGGAUGGACUGGGGUUGGUCCCGGCGGGGAUCCUAGCAAAGAUGUGGAAAUUGGUGUCGUUGCUGAUCUUGAUUC
ensembl:lncRNA